UACGUAGGGCGCAAGCGUUGUCCGGAAUUAUUGGGCGUAAAGAGCUCGUAGGCGGUUUGUCGCGUCUGGUGUGAAAACCUGGGGCUCAACCCCGGGCCUGCAGCCGAUACGGGCAAACUAGAAUUCGGUAGGGGAGACUGGAAUUCCUGGUGUAGCGGUGAAAUGCGUAGAUAUCGAGAGGAACACCUGCGGCGAAGGCGGGUUGCUGGGCUGACACUGACGCUGAUUGUGCGAAAGCUAGGGGAGCGAACGGG
rnacentral:rRNA from 1 species